UUUGGACAUCUAUUAUCGAAAUUUCGAGUCAAGGCAGAUAUGCUAGACAUGCGGCGAUUAAUUCCUAAUUAGCCAUAGUCUUACGAAGGCCCGAAUACCAAACAUUCCUAGAGCCUACUAAUUUAUCAUCAGAUGAUGGUCUGGAGCUAGAUCGUUUUCAGUAUUUCCUUAAUUUGGACACAUGCGUUUCUUUUUUCCAAAAAAUGUUCAUUUGAAUCGGAUUGAUAUUGCCGAGUUUUAUAUCUCAGCAUUUGCUAUGCCGAACACCCUUUCAAUAAGUGCUGAGACUGUGUCAACGCUAGGAUUAUUUUUGAACUUUCUGUUUAACUAGGUUCUUCCGCCUUUGAAGUAUCGCAAGUAGACUAGACUCACCACCAAAUCUGAAGACUCACCCAAUCAUCUGAUUAGCUUCACUUUGAUACAAAAUAAAAU